GAUGAACGCUGGCGGCGUGCUUAACACAUGCAAGUCGAACGGAAAGGCUCCUCCUUGCUGGGGUACUCGAGUGGCGAACGGGUGAGUAACACGUGGGUGAUCUGCCCUUCACUUCGGGAUAAGCCUGGGAAACUGGGUCUAAUACCGGAUAGGACGAUCGUCUGCAUGCCAUUGUGGAAAGUUUUUUCGGUGUGGGAUGGGCUCGCGGCCUAUCAGCUUGUUGGUGGGGUAAGGUCCUUACAAGGCGUGGACGGGUAGCCGGCCUGGGAGGGUGUACGGGCAAAGUGGGAAGGGGGAGAGGGCCAAAAUCCAUAGGGAGGCAAGAGGGGGGGAAAUUGGAAGAAGGGGGGAAGGCUGGAGGAGGGAAGCCGGGUGGGGGAAGACGGCCUUCGGGUUGGAAACUCCUUUCGCUAGGGACGAAAGGGAGGGGACGGUAAAUGAGAAGAAGAGCAGGCGAAAUACGUG
rnacentral:rRNA from 1 species